rnacentral:rRNA from 1 species
AGAGUUUGAUCCUGGCUCAGAACGAACGCUGGCGGCAGGCCUAACACAUGCAAGUCGAGCGAGGGGUAACCCUAGCGGCGGACGGGUGAGUAACGCGUGGGAACGUGCCCUUUGCUACGGAAUAGCCCUGGGAAACUGGGAGUAAUACCGUAUGAGCCCUUUGGGGGAAAGAUUUAUCGGCAAAGGAUCGGCCCGCGUUGGAUUAGGUAGUUGGUGGGGUAAUGGCCUACCAAGCCGACGAUCCAUAGCUGGUUUGAGAGGAUGAUCAGCCACACUGGGACUGAGACACGGGCCAGACUCCUACGGGAGGCAGCAGUGGGGAAUCUUAGACAAUGGGCGCAAGCCUGAUCUAGCCAUGCCGCGUGAGCGAUGAAGGCCUUAGGGUUGUAAAGCUCUUUCAGGGGGGAAGAUAAUGACUGUACCCCCAGAAGAAGCCCCGGCUAACUCCGUGCCAGCAGCCGUGGUAAUACGGAGGGGGCUAGCGUUGAUCGGAAUUACUGGGCGUAAAGCGCACGUAUGCGGACUGAAAAGUUAGGGGUGAAA